rnacentral:rRNA from 1 species
AUGAACGCUGGCGGCGUGCCUUAAGCAUGCAAGUCAAGGGGCCCGCAAGGGUACCGGCGGACGGGUGAGUAACGCGUGAGAAUCUACCUUAAAGUGGGACAUAGCCAGCCGAAAGGUUGGGUAAUUUCCCAUGUGAACGCAAGUUUAAAGCCGCAAGGCGCUUUAAGAUGAGCUCGCGUCCUAUCAGCUAGUUGGUGGGGUAAUGGCCUACCAAGGCAACGACGGGUAGCUGGUCUGAGAGGAUGGUCAGCCACAAUGGAACUGCGACACGGUCCAUACAUCUACGGAUGGCAGCAACUGGGAAUAUUCGGCAAUGGGCGAAAGCCUGACCGAGCGACGCCGCGUGGAGGAUUGAAGGUCUUAGGAUUGUAAACUCCUUUUGCGAGGGAAGAUUAUGACGGUACCUCGCGAAUAAGCCGCUGCUAACUACGUGCCAGAAGCCUCGGUAAUACGUAGGCGGCAAGCGUUAUCCGGAUUCAUUGGGCGUAAAGAGUUGCGUAGGCGGUGUAACACAUUCUGCUUGAAAUCCCAUAGCUUAACUAUGGAUUGGGGCCGAAGAUGGUUAUGCUCGAGGAAAAGAGAGGGUACUGGAACUGAUCAAGUAGCAGUGAAAUGCGUUGAUAUGAUCGGGAACACCAAAGGCGUAGGCAGGUACCUAACUUUUUCCUGACGCUGAGGCACGAAAGCUUGGGGAGCGAAGCAGAUUAGAGACCUGCGUAGUCCAAGCCGUAAACUAUCUUCGCUAGAUACCCGCAUUUUUAAUAUGGGUGUCGCAGCUAACGCAUUAAGCGAAGCGCCUGGGGAGUACGAACGCAAGUUUAAAACUCAAAGGAAUUGACGGGGAGGCGCACAAGCAGUGGAGCGUGUUGUUUAAUUCGAUACGAAGCGAAAAACCUCACCAGGGUUUGACAUGUGGAUGCUAAGCUAUAGAAAUAUGGCCUCCUUCGAGGGUUCCACACAGAUGCUGCAUGGCUGUCGUCAGCUCGUGGCGUGAGCUGUACCGUUAAGUCGGGAACGAGCGCAACCCGCACCGUAUGUUAAAUAAUUCAUGCGGAACAGCCCCACUUUCGUGGGGAGGAAGGCGCGGAUGACGUCAAGUCCGCACGGCUCUUACACCCUGGGCAACAAACACCCUACAAUGGCGAAAAACAACGAGAUGCAACAUGGUAACAUGAAGCUAAUCUCUGAAAUUUCGCCCCAGUUCAGAUUGAGGUCUGCAACCCGACCUCAUGAAGCCGGAAUUGCUAGUAAUCGCGGAUCAGCAGGCCGCGGUGAAUACGUUCUCGCCUCUUGUACACACCGCCCGUCACAUCACGAAAGCUGGCUGUACUAGAAGUCGCUGCGCUAACCCGCAAGGGAAGCAGGUGCCUAAGGUAU